rnacentral:miRNA from 1 species
AUGAAAAUUGUCGCUAUAGAUC